CUGGCUUGUUCAAAGGAGACAAGUGUCACAGCCUGGUUGGAAAACCCAAGAUAUUUAUCAUUCAGGCAUGUCGGGGAAACCAGCACGAUGUGCCAGUCAUUCCUUUGGAUGUAGUAGAUAAUCAGACAGAGAAGUUGGACACCAACAUAACUGAGGUGGAUGCAGCCUCCGUUUACACGCUGCCUGCUGGAGCUGACUUCCUCAUGUGUUACUCUGUUGCAGAAGGAUAUUAUUCUCACCGGGAAACUGUGAACGGCUCAUGGUACAUUCAAGAUUUGUGUGAGAUGUUGGGAAAAUAUGGCUCCUCCUUAGAGUUCACAGAACUCCUCACACUGGUGAACAGGAAAGUUUCUCAGCGCCGAGUGGACUUUUGCAAAGACCCAAGUGCAAUUGGAAAGAAGCAGGUUCCCUGUUUUGCCUCAAUGCUAACUAAAAAGCUGCAUUUCUUUCCAAAAUCUAAUUAAUUAAUAGAGGCUAUCUAAUUUUACACUCUGUAUUGAAAAUGUCUUUCUCAGCCGGGCGUGGUUACUCACACCUGUAAUCCCAGCACUUUGGGAGUCCAAGGUGGGCAGAUCACCUGAGGUCGGGAGUUCGAGACCAGCCUGACCAACAUGGAGAAGCCCCGUCUCUACUAAAAAUACAAAAAAAAAUUUAGCUAGGCAUGGUGGUGCAUGCCUGCAAUCCCAGCUACUUGGAAGGCUGAGGCAGGAGAAUCACUUGAACCCAGGAGGUGGAGGCUGCGGUGAGCCGAGAUUGCACCAUUGCACUCCAGCCUGGGCAACGAGUGAAACUCCGUCUCAAAAAAAAGAAAAUGUCUUUCUCUUCCUUUUAUAUAAAUAUCGUUAGGGUGAAGCAUUAUGGUCCAAUGAUUCAAAUGUUUUAAAGUUUAAUG
rnacentral:sRNA from 1 species